rnacentral:rRNA from 1 species
GUGGGGAAUCUUGCGCAAUGGGCGAAAGCCUGACGCAGCCAUGCCGCGUGAAUGAUGAAGGUCUUAGGAUUGUAAAAUUCUUUCACCGGGGACGAUAAUGACGGUACCCGGAGAAGAAGCUCCGGCUAACUUCGUGCCAGCAGCCGCGGUAAUACGAAGGGGGCUAGCGUUGCUCGGAAUUACUGGGCGUAAAGGGCGCGUAGGCGGACAGCUUAGUCAGAGGUGAAAGCCCAGGGCUCAACCUUGUAAUUGCCUUUGAUACUGGCUGUCUUGAGUUUGGGAGAGGUGAGUGGAACUCCGAGUGUAGAGGUGAAAUUCGUAGAUAUUCGGAAGAACACCAGUGGCGAAGGCGACUCACUGGCCCAAUACUGACGCUGAGGCGCGAAAGCGUGGGGAGCAAACAGGAUUAGAUACCCCAGUAGUCC